rnacentral:rRNA from 1 species
AUUGAACGCUGGCGGCAUGCCUAACACAUGCAAGUCGAACGGGGCAGCAAUGCCUAGUGGCGGACGGGUGAGGAAUACGUAGGAAUCUGCCCUUAAGUGGGGGAUAACCAGGGGAAACCCUGACUAAUACCGCAUGAUCUCUUCGGAGCAAAGAGGGGGACCGCAAGGCCUCUCGCUUCUGGAUGAGCCUACGUCUGAUUAGCUAGUUGGUAGGGUAAAGGCCUACCAAGGCGACGAUCAGUAACUGGUCUGAGAGGAUGAUCAGCCACAUUGGGACUGAGACACGGCCCAAACUCCUACGGGAGGCAGCAGUGGGGAAUAUUGGACAAUGGGCGCAAGCCUGAUCCAGCCAUGCCGCGUGAGUGAUGACGGCCCUAGGGUUGUAAAGCUCUUUCGCAGGUGAAGAUAAUGACGGUAACCGGAGAAGAAGCCCCGGCUAACUUCGUGCCAGCCGCCGCGGUAACAC